rnacentral:rRNA from 1 species
UCGAUUCCCUUAGUAGCGGCGAGCGAAACGGGAAGAGCCCAAACCAACAAGCUUGCUUGUUGGGGUUGUAGGACACUCUAUACGGAGUUACAAAGGACGACAUUAGACGAAUCAUCUGGAAAGAUGAAUCAAAGAAGGUAAUAAUCCUGUAGUCGAAAAUGUUGUCUCUCUUGAGUGGAUCCUGAGUACGACGGAGCACGUGAAAUUCCGUCGGAAUCUGGGAGGACCAUCUCCUAAGGCUAAAUACUCUCUAGUGACCGAUAGUGAACCAGUACCGUGAGGGAAAGGUGAAAAGCACCCCGGAAGGGGAGUGAAAUAGAACCUGAAACCGUGUGCUUACAAGUAGUCAGAGCCCGUUAAUGGGUGAUGGCGUGCCUUUUGUAGAAUGAACCGGCGAGUUACGAUUUGAUGCAAGGUUAAGCAGUAAAUGUGGAGCCGUAGCGAAAGCGAGUCUGAAUAGGGCGUUUAGUAUUUGGUCGUAGACCCGAAACCAGGUGAUCUACCCUUGGUCAGGUUGAAGUUCAGGUAACACUGAAUGGAGGACCGAACCGACUUACGUUGAAAAGUGAGCGGAUGAACUGAGGGUAGCGGAGAAAUUCCAAUCGAACCUGGAGAUAGCUGGUUCUCUCCGAAAUAGCUUUAGGGCUAGCCUCAAGUGAUGAUUAUUGGAGGUAGAGCACUGUUUGGACGAGGGGCCCCUCUCGGGUUACCGAAUUCAGACAAACUCCGAAUGCCAAUUAAUUUAACUUGGGAGUCAGAACAUGGGUGAUAAGGUCCGUGUUCGAAAGGGAAACAGCCCAGACCACCAGCUAAGGUCCCAAAAUAUAUGUUAAGUGGAAAAGGAUGUGGCGUUGCCCAGACAACUAGGAUGUUGGCUUAGAAGCAGCCAUCAUUUAAAGAGUGCGUAAUAGCUCACUAGUCGAGUGACACUGCGCCGAAAAUGUACCGGGGCUAAACAUAUUACCGAAGCUGUGGAUUGUCCUUUGGACAAUGGUAGGAGAGCGUUCUAAGGGCGUUGAAGCAUGAUCGUAAGGACAUGUGGAGCGCUUAGAAGUGAGAAUGCCGGUGUGAGUAGCGAAAGACGGGUGAGAAUCCCGUCCACCGAUUGACUAAGGUUUCCAGAGGAAGGCUCGUCCGCUCUGGGUUAGUCGGGUCCUAAGCUGAGGCCGACAGGCGUAGGCGAUGGAUAACAGGUUGAUAUUCCUGUACCACCUAUAAUCGUUUUAAUCGAUGGGGGGACGCAGUAGGAUAGGCGAAGCGUGCGAUUGGAUUGCACGUCUAAGCAGUAAGGCUGAGUAUUAGGCAAAUCCGGUACUCGUUAAGGCUGAGCUGUGAUGGGGAGAAGACAUUGUGUCUUCGAGUCGUUGAUUUCACACUGCCGAGAAAAGCCUCUAGAUAGAAAAUAGGUGCCCGUACCGCAAACCGACACAGGUAGUCAAGAUGAGAAUUCUAAGGUGAGCGAGCGAACUCUCGUUAAGGAACUCGGCAAAAUGACCCCGUAACUUCGGGAGAAGGGGUGCUCUUUAGGGUUAACGCCCAGAAGAGCCGCAGUGAAUAGGCCCAAGCGACUGUUUAUCAAAAACACAGGUCUCUGCUAAACCGUAAGGUGAUGUAUAGGGGCUGACGCCUGCCCGGUGCUGGAAGGUUAAGAGGAGUGGUUAGCUUCUGCGAAGCUACGAAUCGAAGCCCCAGUAAACGGCGGCCGUAACUAUAACGGUCCUAAGGUAGCGAAAUUCCUUGUCGGGUAAGUUCCGACCCGCACGAAAGGCGUAACGAUUUGGGCACUGUCUCAACGAGAGACUCGGUGAAAUCAUAGUACCUGUGAAGAUGCAGGUUACCCGCGACAGGACGGAAAGACCCCGUGGAGCUUUACUGUAGCCUGAUAUUGAAAUUCGGCACAGCUUGUACAGGAUAGGUAGGAGCCUU